GGCACGUUGCUCACGUCUCUUUCUAAUCCUUUCUUCAUAAGCUUCUUCUAAGCUUGCAUAUUUUCAUUGGCGACCCAUUUAGAAAAAGCUCAACUAUACAUAUGUAAAAAGGUUUCAAUAAGAAUGCAUAACCAACUAAAUUAUUAGCACAAACACAAUUAAUAAAUAAAUAAAUAAUAACGUUUGUGCCUCCAAUAUGCUGUCAAGAAUUAAUAACAUAUUCAUUAACAUCCUUCAGUGAACCAUUGCGCUGAUUUGAACGCUCUGACUCAUUAGGCCUUUCUUUACAAGGACAAAAUCACGAAAAGGCAAAAUAAAGCAAAGAGCUCACCUUGCAAAAUUAGGAAAUGGAAGCUUUCAAUUGGAAGAAGAAGUUGGCCCUGAGACAAUGGUCCACAUAAAUGGAGGCAAAAGUUCAUGUAAAGAACACAAAUCAAAGCAUGCACCACAUAAAUAGAGAAUCAUCUGAAACUCAAAUCACCGGAAUAAAACAGGAGAUCUUAUUACCCUUUGCUAACUUGGAAAUCUGAAAUCAAAGCAUCAAAUCACCAAACAAAGGUGAGUAAGAAAACAGAACUUAAAAAAUAAAAAAUAGAAUGAAAUAUGAACACAGAGCAGAAAUUAGCUACUACGGAACAUUUAUAACCAAGAAGUGACCAGCCCUAUUCAAUACCAUCAUCAUCCUAAUUCCCAAGUCAUACAUUGGCAUGAGGAGGUGCAUUUUCUAACUAUGAUUGUAUUGCUUUAGACUCUAAAGACAGUAAAUGUUCCAACUUGUCCAAGGCUACAAAAAUAUGUUAAUGAUGGUAAACUUGACUUAAAACAAAUAAGUUCCCUCCAAUAUGAGUUCUCUCUAUCUUGGUUCUAAACGUGGUAAACUUGGUUUAAAACAAAUAAGCUCUCUCUAUCUGCAAUCCUUAGAACACCUAGUAUAAGUAUGCAACAUUUUAUCUUAAUUAAAUUCAGAAAGCUGAACCUGGCUUUAAGGUAUUUUACAAAUAGGUUUUGGGCACUAAUUAGGAUGGAGAAAAAUACUACAAAGAGUAAACAGAGCAGAAAUUAGCUGUUAUGGAACAUUUAUAACCAAGAGGUGACAAUCACAACUGUAUUUGAUUGAAUUCAACUUUUCAUCCAUUCACAAUAUCCAUCAUUUUGCAUGGUUAAUGAUUCUAGACAAUGAAAUGUCUGAAAUGAGAAUGAGUUCUUCAAUUAUUUAAGUUGCUCCUGAGAUGAGAGUGUGUUCUGUGUUUGUUGCAUGGAUAUCCAAUUAAUUGGAGAACAAGAUCAGAAAACCCAAAAAAUGAAGAAACUUCACUGUGCUUUUCCGAUGAAGAAAUUUUGCCACCACAAUAGUGGUGGCGAACUCUGCUCGGCAAACAAUAGCUCAUCCCUAUUUCUCGAACAAGACCCUGCCUCUCAUUUUUUUCUCUUUUUUUUUGUUAAUUUGGUUUGAAGAGACAAAAUAUGCAAGGGAAAAAGAAAUCACGCAAAAGUGGGGAAAUCCAAUUGUUUUAAAUUCAAGAGUUAGCUACUUGCAUGAAAUUAUUAUUCUAAAUUCAAGAGUUAGCUACUUGCGUGAAAUUUCAUAAGUGACUUGGACAAAAACUGACUUCCUUUCCUGGAAAAAAAAGAGAACAAAAAAUUAUACAUUUAACCCAUCAAUCAUGUUGAACGCUCUUCUAAAGUGGCCUGAAUUUAACAUCAAAGAAUCUUUGGAACUAAUUUCACUACCAUGGCAUGUUUCAACAGUCUAAGCUUGCUCAGACUCAAAAAAAAAGUAUAGCUAAUUGUCAAAAAAAAAAACACAUCAUCUUUUCUUAGCUUUACAUUGCAUAAAUUCAGGGCUAACAAGUUCAUAUUGUUAGACCACCAUUCAUUUAUUGAAGUUAGGAAUAACACCUAGACCAACUGUAAUAACCUCUCAAUAUGUUUAGAAAAUCACCUAUAUUUUUCUUGUUACUUGGUUUUGGAUAGAAAAGUUAGUUGUAAUGCCUCUGGAAUACAAAUACCUUAAUGUAAUUAGUUUAUAAUAGUUUGUCUCUUGACAACCUAAUUAAGCUCAUUCAAAAAAAAAUUGAACUUGCAAAUUUGAUGUUCAACACCUUUUAAUUUGAUUAGUUUCCUGCGUAAUUUCUAAUGUUUUAAAUCUCAAAUAUAGAAAAUGAAUUGCAUAUAUUCAUAGGCUAGAUUACAAACUACAUUAGCUAAAUCCACAAAGUAAAAUAGGAAAAAGAUAAAACACACAUACACACACACACAAACACAAAGUGAAACAGAAAGUAUGAAAUGCCUGGCCAUGUCUUACAUAAGGAAAAUUAAAGAAAGAAAAAGAGAAAAAUAGCAUCCAAUUGGCCUUCCAUAUAUUCCUUUCUGUUUUGUAGCUUUUCUGGUUCUUUUUGGAAACUUAUUAGUUUAUAAUGGAUUAAACUAUACAGAUAUUAUAAUAAGAGAAGGUUAUAGGAACUGCAAAACCUGUUAGGUGUUGUUUACGAGAAGAAAAAUCAAUUGCUCCAAUACAUUAUAAAUGAGUUGUUAAAAAAAUGACAAAUUAAUGCUCCACCAGUUUUGAUAUCAAAGAAGUUGUUGCUCAAUAUAAAAAUCUACAUCUAGCUACGUCAAUUUUGCAACAGUUUGCCAACUUGUUACAAAAGAUUUGAAAGGUAUCUUAUCUUCAACAGAAUCUAAAACCAAAUGAAUAUUUCGAAGUGGUUAAACAAAAUGCUCAUGGGUUUGGUUGCCAAUUCAUGUACUAAUCACAAAUCAGGAACUACUUGGUUUCUAUCCAAGUGGACAUUUUCAUUGGCUUGGGUAUUAAGCAUUGAAAGUCUCUUACUUAUGUUCUUUAUUCAUAACCGUUGACAAUAACACCAGUUUUUUUGCUCUGCAAUUUUCAAAUUUACGUGAACCAUAUAAUGUACUAUGUAAACACAGGAAGGGAACCAUAAUAUCAUAACAAAUUACAAAAAACAAAAGAACAAGCAAAUACCAUAUCACAAUCGAAACAUGCAUUGAUGAAAUUACAUUAAACCAAUCCAAAACAUCAUACAAUUUUCUGAAACAGAGAAAAACUAACACACAAUGAUUGUAGAUGUUAAAUGAGGACAUAUAGCGAAUAUAUGGUGUGCACGUCAAAUAAGUUUGAAUGACCUGUCUAAAAAUACAGCCCUUAAUCAUAAAACAAAAGACAUCAACACAACAAACAAAUCACAUCAAUGCGACCUUCAAUAAUGAUCAGCAAAUUGAUAAACUCAAAACCGAUAAGCUAAUAGAAGUAGAGUGAAAAGUUCACCUUUCAAAACCAUCGAAAGUUCACAAUGCUCUUCUGGUGAAGAAAUUCAACGACAAUGGCGAUGGCAGUGGCGGUGGUGGAUUCCGGUCAGCAGGCAAUGACUCCUCCGUGCUCCCAGACUCCCUUUUUUGUGGCUUUCCUAUUACUUUCCCCUUCUUCUCUAUUUCUUGUUUGUUUG
rnacentral:lncRNA from 1 species